rnacentral:rRNA from 1 species
GACAGAGGCCUCAAGCGUUAGGCGGAAUCACUGGGCUUAAAGCGUGUGUAGGCGGAUCGUUAAGUACCUUGUGAAAUCCCACGGCUCACCCGUGGAACUGCUGGGUAUACUGGCGGUCUUGGGCCAACUAGGGGCAGCUGGAACAAGCGGUGGAGCGGUGAAAUGCGUAGAUAUCGCUUGGAACGCCGAAGGUGAAAACAGGGCUGCUGGGG